UUACAUGUAAGUUAGUUUUGUCUUAUUUCAUUGUACUAAAGAUAUUUGCGCUAGAAACUAACCCAAAAUAACUUGGUCAGAUUUUGUGUUUUUGCAGCGUAUGAGAAGACUCUGUGGAACUACAACAUUUUUAUCAAUAUUAAGCAAUUAUUAACUUAAAACAAGCUCCUAUAUCUUGAUAAAAAAUAUUUUAAGUUAGUGUUGUCUCGUUUAAAGUGCGAUAAGAUAUUUGCAUUACAAUUGAGCCAAAAAAAUGUAGUUAAAUGUUGGUUUUGCAGUGUGUUACAGCGAUCAGAUUUAAUGUUGCUUAUGCAAACAUCUUCUGUUCCUCCUUUACUGGGAUGAAACCUGAACUCCCUGCUUUGUUUUCUGCUUGCAAAUUCAUUUUUUCUCUCUGCCUGAUGACAGUUGCAGCCAAUAAAAUGGCGGCGAGACUCUGAACGCAACAUGUUCACCCAACAGACGGAGGCGCUGCCAGUUAGAGUCUCUGCAAACUGUUGAGGAGAAAAAAAAUUGCAGGUUUUACUAGUAUUUUAGCGAAACUAUUAGGAAAAGAAAUUUCUGCAAGAGGCAUUUACUCUGACAUGUAAGGUUGAGUUUUGUGCGAGAGCAGAAAAAACAUCUACUGGGGAAAAUAAGGAAUUUCAGUCAAUUUAAACAUGUAUUCUCUUACGAGUAAAAAAAUAAAAAAAAGUCAUGAUUGCAUCACCAGGUACAGUUCUUGUCAUCUAAUAAAUAAAAUUCACAAAAAGGGUUCGUUUUGCAAACACCUGAGGUCAAACCAAUCACACUUCCUCCCUGCUGCCGUCUCAGUGGAUUUCUACGGUAAACAUCCUGCACCGGUGAGCUCUUUAGGGGAUCAGGAAGUAGCUUUUCCAUUAGAUUAGUAGUGAACGCACUGAGGAGAACGUUAGUGAACAACACUGCUGCAUUACACUUCUCUUUCCUGCGUUACACAGCCGUCAAAAUAAAAGUAGUGAAUUACAGAUAUUACAGACCUUUGUCAAUUCAAAGCCACAUGUAAUAAAUGUGUCUGCAUGCCCACAAGGAAAAGUUUUUAGAUUUGCUAUCUGAGGAAUAAUAGAAAGACUUAAUCUUACUUUUUUUUUUUUUUGUCAUUUUUAAAAAUUUAUUUCCACACUCAUGUAAACUAACAUGACUCAUUCCUAGACUCCUAGCCUUCGUUUUCAGUGUCACUCUUCAUGAUCAAAUAGUGUUGUGAUCCUUCAUAUUUGUUCCCAUGACGCUACAUCUCCUUACACAACAUGA